rnacentral:rRNA from 1 species
UACGGGGGGGGGCAAGCGUUGUUCGGAAUUACUGGGCGUAAAGGGCCAGUAGGCGGCCAACUAAGUCGGAUGUGAAAUCCCCAGGCUCAACCUGGGAACUGCAUCCGAUACUGGAUGGCUUGAAUUCGGGAGAGGGGUGCAGAAUUCCAGGUGUAGCGGUGAAAUGCGUAGAUAUCUGGAGGAAUACCGGUGGCGAAGGCGGCAUCCUGGACCGACAUUGACGCUGAACGGCGAAAGCUAGGGGAGCAAACGGG